GGGCCCAUAGCUCAGCGGUAGAGCCGUCGGCUCAUAACCGAUAGGUCCCAGGUUCGAUCCCUGGUGGGCCCACCA
rnacentral:tRNA from 2 species